ensembl:snRNA U6 U6 spliceosomal RNA
GUGCUUGCAUUGGCAGUACAUGUACUAAAAUUGGAACAAUAUAGAGAUUAGUAUGGCCCCUGCGCAAAGAUAACAAGCACAUUUGUGAAGCAUUCCAUUUAAAA